rnacentral:rRNA from 1 species
UACGACUACAUAUCAGGCAUAUCAAUAAGCGGAGGAAAAGAAACUAACAAGGAUUCCCUUAGUAACGGCGAGUGAAGCGGGAAGAGCUCAAAUUUGAAAUCUUCAAGGGUUCUACCUUUACGAAUUGUAGUUUAAAGAAGUGUUUUCUGUUGGAGUUUCGGUAAAAGUUCUUUGGAAUAGGACAUCAUAGAGGGUGAGAAUCCCGUAUUUGACGUUAUUCAUUCUAGCUGUGUGAUACACUUUCAAAGAGUCGGAUUGUUUGGGAAUGCAGUCCAAGAUGGGUGGUAAAUUUCAUCUAAAGUUAAAUAUUGGCGAGAGACCGAUAGCGAACAAGUACCGUGAGGGAAAGAUGAAAAGAACUUUGAAAAGAGAGUUAAACAGUACGUGAAAUUGUCAAAAGGGAAGCGUUUGACACCAGUGUUGUUUUUCCGAAAAUCAAUUACGAAUGGCUUGAUUUUGUGUUGUAUUGACCUUAUCAGCUUUCUUCACUUUUUUCGAGUCUUUCUUAAUGCACCUUUUCGGUUAACAAGUCAACAUCAAUUUCUUUUGUUGUAAGAGAGUAUUCGGAAGGUGGCUUUCUUUUCGGAGAAAGUGUUUAUAGCCCUAUACUUCUACAAUCGGAGAGAUUGAGGUCUGCAGCGUAGAUCCUUCGAGGUUAGAUACACUUGUGCUAAGUUGUAGCUUUUCAUAGACAACUUGUUGACUAUGUUUAGUCAUGCGGCUUACUCGCUUGUGCUAUUUUACCUACGCUUAGGAUGUUGAGUAGCGACAUACGCAC